GACGAACGCUGGCGGCGUGCUUAACACAUGCAAGUCGAACGGAAAGGCCCUGCUUUUGUGGGUUUCUCGAGUGGCGAACGGGUGAGUAACACGUGAGUAACCUGCCCUUGACUUUCGGAUAACUUCAGGAAACUGGGGCUAAUACCGGAUAUGAGCUCCUGCUGCAUGGUGGGGGUUGGAAAGUUUCGGCGGUUGGGGAUGGACUCGCGGCUUAUCAGCUUGUUGGUGGGGUAGUGGCUUACCAAGGCUUUGACGGGUAGCCGGCCUGAGAGGGUGACCGGCGACAUUGGGACUGAGAUACGGACCAGACUCCUACGGGAGGCAGCAGUGGAGAAUAUUGCACAGUGGGCGGAAGCCUGAUGCAGAAACGCCGCGUGCGGGAUGACGGCCUUCGGGUUGUAAACCGCUUUCGCCUGUGACGAAGAGUGAGUGACGGUAAUGGGUAAAGAAGCACCGGCUAACUACGUG
rnacentral:rRNA from 1 species